rnacentral:rRNA from 1 species
CCCUUAGAUGUCCUGGGCUGCACGCGCGCUACACUGACACGCUCAACGAGUAAUACCUGCUCCGAAGGGACUGGGUAAUCUUGUUAAAUCGUGUCGUGAUGGGGAUAGAUUAUUGCAACUAUUAAUCUUCAACGAGGAAUGCCUAGUAAGCGCGAAUCAUCAGUUCGCGUUGAUUACGUCCCUGCCCUUUGUACACACCGCCCGUCGCUCCUACCGAUUGAAUGGUCCGGUGAAAAUUUCGGACAGUGACGAUGCUGGCGGUCCGCCGCCGGCGCUGUCGCUGGAAGAUCUUUAAACCUUAUCAUUUAGAGGAGGGAGAAGUCGUAACA